rnacentral:rRNA from 1 species
GUUAUAUGGUCAAGUGAAGAAGCGCAUACGGUGGAUGCCUUGGCAGUCAGAGGCGAUGAAAGACGUGGUAGCCUGCGAAAAGCUUCGGGGAGUCGGCAAACAGACUGUGAUCCGGAGAUGUCUGAAUGGGGGAACCCAGCCAUCAUAAGAUGGUUAUCUUACACUGAAUACAUAGGUGUAAGAGGCGAACCAGGGGAACUGAAACAUCUAAGUACCCUGAGGAAAAGAAAUCAACCGAGAUUCCCUUAGUAGUGGCGAGCGAACGGGGACCAGCCCUUAAGUUGUAUUGAGAUUAGCGGAACGCUCUGGAAAGGGCGGCCAUAGUGGGUGAUAGCCCUGUACGCGAAAAUCCCUUUGCAAUGAAAUCGAGUAGGACGGGGCACGAGAAACCUUGUCUGAAUAUGGGGGGACCAUCCUCCAAGGCUAAAUACUACUGACUGACCGAUAGUGAACCAGUACCGUGAGGGAAAGGCGAAAAGAACCGCGGAGAGCGGAGUGAAAUAGAUCCUGAAACCGUAUGCGUACAAGCAGUGGGAGCCCACUUUGUUGGGUGACUGCGUACCUUUUGUAUAAUGGGUCAGCGACUUAUUUUCAGUGGCGAGCUUAACCGAAUAGGGGAGGCGUAGCGAAAGCGAGUCUUAAUAGGGCGUCUAGUCGCUGGGAAUAGACCCGAAACCGGGCGAUCUAUCCAUGGGCAGGUUGAAGGUUGGGUAACACUAACUGGAGGACCGAACCGACUACCGUUGAAAAGUUAGCGGAUGACCUGUGGAUCGGGUGAAAGGCUAAUCAAGCUCGGAGAUAGCUGGUUCUCCUCGAAAGCUAUUUAGGUAGCGCCUCAUGUAUCACUGUAGGGGGUAGAGCACUGUUUCGGCUAGGGGGUCAUCCCGACUUACCAAACCGAUGCAAACUCCGAAUACCUACAAGUGCCGAGCAUGGGAGACACACGGCGGGUGCUAACGUCCGUCGUGAAAAGGGAAACAACCCAGACCGUCAGCUAAGGUCCCAAAGUCAUGGUUAAGUGGGAAACGAUGUGGGAAGGCUUAGACAGCUAGGAGGUUGGCUUAGAAGCAGCCACCCUUUAAAGAAAGCGUAAUAGCUCACUAGUCGAGUCGGCCUGCGCGGAAGAUGUAACGGGGCUCAAACCAUGCACCGAAGCUACGGGUAUCAUCUUUUUGAUGAUGCGGUAGAGGAGCGUUCUGUAAGCCUGUGAAGGUGAGUUGAGAAGCUUGCUGGAGGUAUCAGAAGUGCGAAUGCUGACAUGAGUAACGACAAUGGGUGUGAAAAACACCCACGCCGAAAGACCAAGGUUUCCUGCGCAACGUUAAUCGACGCAGGGUUAGUCGGUCCCUAAGGCGAGGCUGAAAAGCGUAGUCGAUGGAAAACAGGUUAAUAUUCCUGUACUUCUGGUUAUUGCGAUGGAGGGACGGAGAAGGCUAGGCCAGCCUGGCGUUGGUAGUCCAGGUUUAAGGUGGUAGGCUGAGAUCUUAGGUAAAUCCGGGAUCUUAAGGCCGAGAGCUGAUGACGAGUGUUCUUUUAGAACAUGAAGUGGUUGAUGCCAUGCUUCCAAGAAAAGCUUCUAAGCUUCAGGUAACCAGGAACCGUACCCCAAACCGACACAGGUGGUUGGGUAGAGAAUACCAAGGCGCUUGAGAGAACUCGGGUGAAGGAACUAGGCAAAAUGGCACCGUAACUUCGGGAGAAGGUGCGCCGGUGAGGGUGAAGCAUUUACUGCGUAAGCCCACGCCGGUCGAAGAUACCAGGCCGCUGCGACUGUUUAUUAAAAAAACACAGCACUCUGCAAACACGAAAGUGGACGUAUAGGGUGUGACGCCUGCCCGGUGCCGGAAGGUUAAUUGAUGGGGUUAGCGCAAGCGAAGCUCUUGAUCGAAGCCCCGGUAAACGGCGGCCGUAACUAUAACGGUCCUAAGGUAGCGAAAUUCCUUGUCGGGUAAGUUCCGACCUGCACGAAUGGCGUAACGAUGGCGGCGCUGUCUCCACCCGAGACUCAGUGAAAUUGAAAUCGCUGUGAAGAUGCAGUGUAUCCGCGGCUAGACGGAAAGACCCCGUGAACCUUUACUAUAGCUUUGCACUGGACUUUGAAUUUGCUUGUGUAGGAUAGGUGGGAGGCUUUGAAGCGUGGACGCCAGUCUGCGUGGAGCCAACCUUGAAAUACCACCCUGGCAACUUUGAGGUUCUAACUCAGGUCCGUUAUCCGGAUCGAGGACAGUGUAUGGUGGGUAGUUUGACUGGGGCGGUCUCCUCCUAAAGAGUAACGGAGGAGUACGAAGGUGCGCUCAGACCGGUCGGAAAUCGGUCGUAGAGUAUAAAGGCAAAAGCGCGCUUGACUGCGAGACAGACACGUCGAGCAGGUACGAAAGUAGGUCUUAGUGAUCCGGUGGUUCUGUAUGGAAGGGCCAUCGCUCAACGGAUAAAAGGUACUCCGGGGAUAACAGGCUGAUACCGCCCAAGAGUUCAUAUCGACGGCGGUGUUUGGCACCUCGAUGUCGGCUCAUCACAUCCUGGGGCUGAAGCCGGUCCCAAGGGUAUGGCUGUUCGCCAUUUAAAGUGGUACGCGAGCUGGGUUUAGAACGUCGUGAGACAGUUCGGUCCCUAUCUGCCGUGGACGUUUGAGAUUUGAGAGGGGGGCUGCUCCUAGUACGAGAGGACCGGAGUGGACGAACCUCUGGUGUUCCGGUUGUCACGCCAGUGGCAUUGCCGGGUAGCUAUGUUCGGAAAAGAUAACCGCUGAAAGCAUCUAAGCGGGAAACUUGCCUCAAGAUGAGAUCUCACUGGAACCUUGAGUUCCCUGAAGGGCCGUCGAAGACUACGACGUUGAUAGGUUGGGUGUGUAAGCGCUGUGAGGCGUUGAGCUAACCAAUACUAAUUGCCCGUGAGGCUUGACCAUAUAACACCCAAGCAAUU